UUCAAAAUCUAUAAAUAGAUUGUUAUCACAAGUAAUAGAACACAAGUAAGUCAUAGAUGUUACAGAAGAUUAAGAUUAUCAAUGGAAUUUUGAUUGGAAGAUGAAAGACUGAGUUACGAUUAGAAGAUGAAAGGUGAGAAAAUGAUCAUUGAAAAGGGUUUUCAAUUCAGAGCAGAAAUUCAUUUGAAUUUCUGCGCAAGGACGAGAGUGAUACCAGAAUUCGACCACUUCAUGCCUACGAUGGCUUAUAUAGAACUUGAAGGAGAAGAAACCGUCCUGGAGUGCAUGGGGGAGAGGACGUGAGGGAAAAGUGUACAUUUGUCCUGAGCGCAGUUGCAAACAUCACGACCCGAAACAAGCUUUGGGCGAUAUCACAGCAAUAAAGAAACACUACGCCAGAAAACACGGCCUAGAGAAGAAUUGGAAGUGUCCAAAAUGCCUCAAGAAAUACGUAGUGGAGACAGAGG